rnacentral:tRNA from 1 species
AAAAAGAUAAGCUAAGCAAGCUAGUAGGCUCAUAACCUUUAUAUGGGAGUAUAUAAUCCUCCCUCUUUUUA